GCGCCUAGAGCCUAGAGCGCCACGUCACCGCAUGGUUCUACUAUUUAUAUUACCUGAUCACGUGACUCGAAACCUAUUCGAGUUCAUGUAUGUAUAAAAACUCAUCACGCUCAUGAUCUCAGAUACAGUUGAACGAAUGGCAGAGCUUUAUCGCCGUGUUUUAAUGAUAAAACAUGCGAGGUGAAAGGUUGUGAAUAAUGCUUGGUGGGUGGAUAGGUGUAGAGGGACUGAUUAUCAUGACAACACAUUUAACUUAGAGAGAGAGAGAGAGAGAGAGAGAGAGAGAGAGAGAGAGAGAGAGAGAGAUUAACAGGUUAGUUAUGAAAAUGCCUAGCUGAAGAGAUUGAUAAUUUGAGUACUCCCCUUCAGCAUCCGCUGUUCACUUCCAUGAGAAAACAUACAGUUUGAACUGACAAGCCAUCGAGUAAAACGGCGUUCAAGUACAAGUACAAACAUUCGUUUUACUUUUAAAACUGCUUUCAAAUGUAUUGUUUAGUUAACUGAAGUAAUUAUAAUAAAAAAGUUUUACUUCGUUUCAUACUAAAAAAAAAAAAAGAAAGUAACAAAGAAAAUGAAACCCGCUUAUGCGGGUUAUGUUAUUUUUCUGGAAUGCUAGAUACGUUCAUAUACCCACAUGAAACACAAAAGAAAGCCUUUUUUGUUUUGUUUCCGAGAAUCGGAUAUUAUGUUUCAAAAAUACCGUGUAAGGGGUUUAUAUGUAAACCAUUAUGAAAAUGCACAACUUUUCAAAACGUUCCUGAAUUUGAUCGCAUCUAUACUAGUGCCGAAUGAUGUGGCGCACCCAUUACAGAGGUCACAUCAAUUAAGUUCCCUGGGACGACUAUAUUGCUUGUACAAUUGUAUUACUCAUGUUCCAUCUAUUCAGCAAAUAAACUAUUCCAAUUUAAUUUUUUGUCAUAUCCUAUCAUUUAGACCAUUCUUUAAGAAGGCAAUCGAUAGAAAUCAAAAUCGAUAAAUAGUUCAGAAUGUACACAUCAAAAACAUAAAAAAAAAUACCCCCC
rnacentral:sRNA from 1 species